CCUACGGGUGGCAGCAGUGAGGAAUAUUGGUCAAUGGCCGGAAGCCUGAACCAGCCAAGCCGCGUGAAGGACGAAUGUGCCAAGCAUUGUAAACUUCUUUUGUCAAGGGACAAAAUCAGGCUCGAGAGCCUGACCGAGGGUACUUGAAGAAAAAGCAUCGGCUAACUCCGUGCCAGCAGCCGCGGUAAUACGGAGGAUGCGAGCGUUAUCCGGAUUUAUUGGGUUUAAGGGGUGCGUAGGCGGGCUGUUAAGUCAGCGGUAAAAGCCAGGGGUUCAACCUAGGAGAGCCGUUGAAACUGGCAGUCUUGAGAUGUGGAGAGGUAGGCGGAAUGCGCGGUGUAGCGGUGAAAUGCUUAGAUAUCGCGAAGAACUCCGAUUGCGAAGGCAGCAUAC
rnacentral:rRNA from 1 species